CCCUUAGAUGUUCUGGGCCGCACGCGCGCUACACUGAUGCAUUCAACGAGUUUCUUCCUGGUCCGAGAGGAAUGGGUAACCUUUUGAAAGUGCAUCGUGAUAGGGAUAGACUAUUGCAAUUAUUGGUCUUCAACGAGGAAUUCCUAGUAGACGUAGUUCAUCAGACUGCAUCGAUUACGUCCCUGCCCUUUGUAAACACCGCCCGUCGCUCCUACCGAUUGAAUGCUCAGGUGAGCCAUUCGGACUUUCAUCAUGCUGGUUUCCAGUUUUGAUGAAGGAAAGUCUUGCGAACCUUAUCAUUUAGAGGAAGGAGAAGUCGUAACA
rnacentral:rRNA from 1 species